GUGAGGUGUGGUCUGUAGGGCAGUCCUCAGAAAUGGGGUCAAAAGCUCCCCUGCUGUGGAUGCUGCUGCUUUUGGUUCCAGACUCCACCGGGGAUACAGUGCUGACUCAGUCUCCAGCCUCCUUGACUGUGUCUCCAGGGGAGAAGGCCACCAUCUUCUGCAGCGCCAGUGAGAGUGUUAAUAAAUUUGGUAUAGAUCUUAUGCACUGGUAUCAACAUAAGCCAGGACAGCCUCCCAAACUCCUGAUCUAUACAGUGUACACACGAGAGUCUGGGGUGCCAGACAGGUUCAGUGGCAGUUGGGCUGGGGAAGACUUCACCCUCACCAUUCACCCUGUGGAGGCCGAGGAUGCCGGGAACUAUUACUGUCAGCAGGGUUUAGAUGUUCCUCCCACAGUGCUCUAUCUCUGA